UUUUAUGUUUUGCGUAUUAAAAGCCAUACAAACCUACCAGGAUUUCUUGCAGAAGGUAAUGCUCAUGCUGAUGCAUUAGCUAAUCCUGUUUGGGCAGUUCCUCAGACAGAUAAACUAGCCCAGGCUAAAGCAUCUCAUGCCUUUUUUCAUCAAAAUGCACGCACAUUGUAUAAACAGUUUUCGCUAACACCUACAGAAGCUCGUGCUAUUGUUAGUGCUUGCCCAGAUUGUCAUAACUCUAAUGGACCUUUACCCUUUGGAGUAAAUCCCUGUGGUCUUUUGGCCCUACAGCUUUGGCAGACUGUUGUUACACACAUUUCAGAUUUUGGUCGUUUUAAAUAUGUACAUGUAUCCAUUGACACCCUUUCUUCUGUUAUAUGGGCUUCUGCCCAUGCUGGAGAAAAGGCCCAUGAUGUAAUUUUGCACUGGCAGCAAGCCUUGGCUGCUUUAGGCAUACCUGCCUGUGUGAAAACUGACAAUGGGCCAGCCUACGCCUCUCAGAAAGUUAGGAAUUUUUUAUGUCUGUGAGGCAUCUCUCAGAAAUUUGGUAUUCCUCAUUCUCCCACUGGUCAGGCUGCCGUUGAACGUGCUCAUCACACACUUAAAACUGUUUUAGAAAAACAAAAAGGGAGAAUGCAAGGGGAAACCCCACAGUCCAGACUUUUGAAAGCUCUAUAUACCAUAAAUCACUUGACCAUACUGGCUCAUUCAAACAAUCCCUCAAUUUUAAAUCAGUUUUAUUCCUUGCAGUGCACCAGUGAAACACAUUUGCCUCGAGCUAAAGUAUGGGUAAGGAAUUUGCUUACCAGUGAGUGGGAAGGCCCCUGGGACCUUGUCACUUGGGGACGUGGAUACGCUUGUGUUUCCACAGAUACUGGACCACGGUGGGUGCCAGCAAGGUGUGUGCGUCCUGAUUUGCGGCAGAAUAUCCCACCGCCUGUUCGGCCAAAUCCUGAGGAUAACAGCAACACAGGGAUGACCUUGGCAGCAUAGUUCGAGCUACCUCUGACCAGAGAAAGCGUCUAGCACAGCAUAAACCACGGAGGGGAAAACGUAGCAUCCAUGCGUUUGCCCCUGAUUGUGAUGACACCACCAAAUUUUGGCCAUCAGGGCCCUGCAAAAGUCAAUAACCACUGCCUUUGUAAUACAACAACAAAGAGGGGGACCUGAUGAGGCUGACAGCUGGACUGGAGGCCUCACAGAGUUAGACCUAAAAUCGAUCAGAAUUUACCCGUGAGAAUAUUGCAGUGAAAUUCUGCAGCUUCAGUGAAACCCACAAAGAAGGCCGGGAAGAUAAUUAAUAAGAGAAGAUGUUCUGGACAUGAAGGGAGGAUGUUCUUGUUAUGGGACAUUAAGAGUGUACAAGGAAGAACUUGUGGAUAAUAUGUAGCAACUAUACUUUUGCUUGUAUAGCUGAUUGUUUUAUGGUCUGAAUGGUCAUUGUUUGUUAGACAGCCUUGUCAUUGUUUUCUAAGCAGCCAAUCUUAAACUAGGCCACAGCCAUUGUGAAGAGGUAUAAGAAUAGCAGUAGAGAAAAUAAAAAAAUCUUUCUACCUUUUGACUAUGGAUUAUGACUAGUGUGGCUUUUAUGUCUGCCUCGACUACAGCCACACCUCAGUUAGAGAAUCCUCUGUGGAGCCCCUGCAGAAAUGAUUAACCUUGAGAAGUGGAAAAGAUCCUAGCUAUCCUUAUGAUCUUUUUGUCCCAGGAAUUAAUGAUCCAAAGAAAGAGCUUGAUUUAUUCCCUCCGGACUCACAUGAUAAAUGGGUUGAAGUUGGAUUGGAAGCAUUGGAAGCAGGCGAUGUAGAGGUAGCACAGCGUAUUGUAACUCCUGUCACAUACACCCCCCCCCCCCGUCAGCUAGCUAAGUGGCAAGGGCUAUCUUUUAAUGUUAUUAAUGAACUCCCACGUGCCCUUGUAGAGUUCGGCAUAUCAUCACCUUUCUUUACCAACAUGUUGGGGUCAGUACUUAAAUCCGAUACUAUGACACCUCAUGAUUUAAAGACAUUUGCAGACUUGCUGCUAACACUCAUGCAGAGGACACUCUGGGAUGCCAGUCUCACACCCGCAACAGCAGGCAGUGCCAGACUGGAUGUGGCAGCAGCCACAGAUGUAAC